rnacentral:rRNA from 1 species
GUGUCAGCCGCCGCGGUAAUACCGGCAGCCCGAGUGAUGGCCGAUCUUAUUGGGCCUAAAGCGUCCGUAGCUGGCCGCGCAAGUCCAUCGGGAAAUCCACCUGCUCAACAGGUGGGCGCCCGGUGGAAACUGUGCGGCUUGGGACCGGAAGGCGCGACGGGUACGUCCGGGGUAGGAGUGAAAUCCCGUAAUCCUGGACGGACCGCCGAUGGCGAAAGCACGUCGCGAGAACGGAUCCGACAGUGAGGGACGAAAGCCAGGGUCUCGAACCGGAUUAGAAACCCGAGUAGUCC